UACGAAGGGGGCUAGCGUUGUUCGGAAUUACUGGGCGUAAAAGGCGCGUAGGCGGCCAUCUAAGUCAGACGUGAAAUCCCCCGGCUUAACCUGGGAACUGCGUCUGAUACUGGACGGCUCGAGUUUGGGAGAGGGAUGCAGAAUUCCAGGUGUAGCGGUGAAAUGCGUAGAUAUCUGGAGGAAUACCGGUGGCGAAGGCGGCAUCCUGGACCAACACUGACGCUGAGGCGCGAAAGCUAGGGGAGCAAACGGG
rnacentral:rRNA from 1 species